UACGUAGGGGGCAAGCGUUGUCCGGAUUUACUGGGCGUAAAGGGCUCGUAGGCGGCCAACUAAGUCCGACGUGAAAUCCCCAGGCUUAACCUGGGAACUGCGUCGGAUACUGGAUGGCUUGAAUCCGGGAGAGGGAUGCGGAAUUCCAGGUGUAGCGGUGAAAUGCGUAGAUAUCUGGAGGAACACCGGUGGCGAAGGCGGCGAGCUGGCCUGUUACUGACGCUGAGGCGCGACAGCGUGGGGAGCAAACAGG
rnacentral:rRNA from 1 species